CCUAGAGUUGUAGGCUUUGCCUGCUAUCUCUUACCCAUGUCUUUUGAGUACCUUCGUUUCCUCGGCGGGUCCGCCCGCCGAUUGGACAAUUUAAACCAUUUGCAUUUGCAAUCAGCGUCUGAAAAAACUUAAUAGUUA
rnacentral:misc_RNA from 1 species